CCAAACAAAAAUAAACGUGAGUGAGAUUCUUAAGGAACUAAAAACUUAAGAAUCAGAUUUUUCAACAUUUCAAAGCCAAAACGUGAAAACAAUUUCAAAGCCAAAAAUGCGAAACCAAAUAAUUGCAUGUUGUCUUGAACCAGAGAAUCAAUUCUGUCAACACGUCAAAAGUUUCGAUUGAAAUUUCAGUUCAAAUUCAAUCCAAGAUUCAAGCAUAGUUUUCGUUCAAGAAUUUUGCAGAAACGGGUAUGUUAAGGCUAUCCCUUCUUUCUUUUGGCAUGAUCCAUACGCUAUGAACGAAACGUGCAAAUGCACAAAUUCCAAAAGUGACUCUACUCAUAGGAGUAAUAGAAAUAUCUAUGUUCUUUAAUUUUCAAGUGUCAUAANNNNNNNNNNNNNNNNNNNNNNNNNUAUUUAUUUAUGUACCUUACAUACUCAGUACAUUAUUCAUACUGACGUCCCUUUUGCCCGGGGACGCUGCGUUUCAUGCACGCAGGUCCUGAUAGACAGGUCGAGAGCCCUCCAAGUAGGCUAUCAGCUCAGCGAAAGAUGGUGGUGCGCUCCAUUUGCUUCGGAGUUGUGUAUUUUGUUAGUAUGAUUUAGAUAUGUAUUGUUUGGUAUGGCGGGACUCUGUCCUGACCUAUAUGACAUUUAUGUAUUCUUAGAGGCUUGUAAACAUAUGUCUUGUACGUGAAAGAUUGUACGGCCUUGCCGG
rnacentral:lncRNA from 1 species